UGUUUCGGCUAGGGGGUCAUCCCGACUUACCAACCCGAUGCAAACUGCGAAUACCGAAGAAUGUUAUCACGGGAGACACACGGCGGGUGCUAACGUCCGUCGUGAAGAGGGAAACAACCCAGACCGCCAGCUAAGGUCCCAAAGUCAUGGUUAAGUGGGAAACGAUGUGGGAAGGCUCAGACAGCCAGGAUGUUGGCUUAGAAGCAGCCAUCAUUUAAAGAAAGCGUAAUAGCUCACUGGUCGAGUCGGCCUGCGCGGAAGAUGUAACGGGGCUAAACCAUGCACCGAAGCUGCGGCAGCGACACUAAGUGUUGUUGGGUAGGGGAGCGUUCUGUAAGCCUGUGAAGGUGUGCUGUGAGGCAUGCUGGAGGUAUCAGAAGUGCGAAUGCUGACAUAAGUAACGAUAAAGCGGGUGAAAAGCCCGCUCGCCGGAAGACCAAGGGUUCCUGUCCAACGUUAAUCGGGGCAGGGUGAGUCGACCCCUAAGGCGAGGCCGAAAGGCGUAGUCGAUGGGAAACAGGUUAAUAUUCCUGUACUUGGUGUUACUGCGAAGGGGGGACGGAGAAGGCUAUGUUGGCCGGGC
rnacentral:rRNA from 1 species